rnacentral:rRNA from 1 species
UGGGGAAUAUUGCACAAUGGAGGGAACUCUGAUGCAGCGACGCCGCGUGAACGAAGAAGGCUUUCGAGUCGUAAAGUUCUUUUAUAUGGGAAGAUAAUGACGGUACCAUAAGAAGAAGCCCCGGCUAACUACGUGCCAGCAGCCGCGGUAAUACGUAGGGGGCUAACGUUGUCCGGAAUCACUGGGCGUAAAGGGUUCGCAGGCGGAAAUGCAAGUCAGGUGUAAAAGGCAGUAGCUUAACUACUGUAAGCAUUUGAAACUGCAUAUCUUGAGAAGAGUAGAGGUAAGUGGAAUUUUUAGUGUCGCGGUGAAAUGCGUAGAUAUUAAAAAGAAUACCGGCGGCGAAGGCGACUUACUGGGCUCAUUCUGACGCUGAGGAACGAAAGCGUGGGUAGCAAACAGG